ACUCUGUCUCAAACACACACACACACACACACACCCCAGAUGAGAAGUUGCUGCCUCCGGGAAGUUUCCCUUGACGUGUCCGUGCCCCACGCCUUUGCUUCCAGAUUGCCUUGGACUUAACACGUGUUCCUUAUCAGCUGGCUGCUGUCCUUUGACUUCCACCAGAUGGUGUGCUUCCUGGAGGCACAGGUUCUGUCUUUCAUUAAGACCUGACCCAUCUCAGGACAUAGGAAGCACUCUGGGCAAGAGGUAUGAGCCGGGAUGAAGUGGACUCCUUGUCUGGAGGUGGUGCUACACACCUUGGAGGGGCUCCUGGGAGCUACUGAGAAUGUCCCCUAAGUCAGUAUUCCUGCCUCAGCUGAAAUGCCAGUCUUCAGCCUCAUCUACUGCACACUUGAGUCCAUGAGAUUUUAGAGUGUUCACAGGUUUUCAGAUGGAGAGAAACUCUACCCACGGAACAGAACCCAAGACGCCUCUUUGCAGCUGGACUUGAUGUAGAUAAGCUCCAGAAAUUGGAGCUGAGUUUGAUGUCAAAAUAGGAUGAGGUGUUUGUUUGUUUGUUUGUUUGUUUGUUUGGUUUUAAGACAAACUCACUCUGUCACCCAGGCUGGAGUGUAG
rnacentral:lncRNA from 1 species